rnacentral:lncRNA from 1 species
UCAAAACAAUACAAUAUAAUUUGCAACCAUAUGAGAUUCUUCCUCUUAGGUUGAAAAGCAUCAGACAAUAUAUGCUUGAGGUCAUCCUUGCUCAUAUGCGCAUAUUGCCUCACCAGUCUCAAGCACUCUGACACUAUCCUUGCCAACCACGAAAACAUCCCACAUUUCCCUCUCUGACAGAUCCCCAGAAUAAGAACACGAAGAACCCAAAGAGUGGGGUGUGGAAAUUGAACAAUGAGAUGUACCCAGAUGGGGCAGAGGGUGAUUCUCGAGGUUUUCAAUUAUGGGUGGGGAAAGAUAGGAACAUGGGAAGUAGGAAUUGGUGAGCAACAAAAAUAAGGAAUAGUUAUAAGAUUGGGUGCAAACUAUGGUGUGAAGAGAAUCUUUUUUAGUAUUAUUGGAUUUAGAGAAAGGGUGUUGAACAGAGAAAACUUGAAAUGGGAGAGGAUAUGGUAAUUUGAGUUUUGUUUUUAUUAAAUUUACUAUAUUUUAAAUUAUUUUAAAAUUUAAAAUCAUUCAAAUCCACGUAAUGAGUUGUUACUAUGCCAUGUGGUUCUUAAAUGCUACCUAAGCAUGCCACUAGAUAAGAAAUUUAACGUUGUCCAAAGCAAUUAACGGCAAGGACAUUAUUGAUUCAAUUUUAC